rnacentral:rRNA from 1 species
UGAGGAAUAUUGCGCAAUGGAGGCAACUCUGACGCAGCCAUGCCGCGUGCAGGAAGACGGCCCUACGGGUUGUAAACUGCUUUUAUCAGGGAAGAAACCCCUUUACGUGUAAAGGGUUGACGGUACCUGAGGAAUAAGCACCGGCUAACUCCGUGCCAGCAGCCGCGGUAAUACGGAGGGUGCAAGCGUUAUCCGGAUUCAUUGGGUUUAAAGGGUGCGUAGGCGGAAUAUUAAGUCAGUGGUGAAAUCCUGCAGCUCAACUGUAGAAUUGCCAUUGAUACUGGUAUUCUUGAGUGCGCUUGAAGUAGGCGGAAUGUGCCGUGUAGCGGUGAAAUGCUUAGAUAUGGCACAGAACACCAAUUGCGAAGGCAGCUUACUAAGGCGAUACUGACGCUGAGGCACGAAAGCGUGGGGAUCGA